AAGUCGUAACAAGGUAACCGUAGGUGAACCUGCGGUUGGAUCAUUAAAAAAAGAAGGACUUUAGAGUCCCCUUUAAACGCUAGUGCUCGUCUAAACAACGAGUCUAGUCAACCCUUGUGUGAACCGUUUAUUGUCUCUGGUAGGACUUUGGGCCUACCAGUUUAUUAUUAAACCCCGUUUUUAAACAACGUCUUAUCAAAUAUAAAAAUUUGAAACAACUUUUGACAACGGAUCUCUUGGCUCUC
rnacentral:misc_RNA from 1 species